rnacentral:rRNA from 1 species
CCUACGGGUGGCAGCAGUCGAGAAUCAUUCACAAUGGGGGAAACCCUGAUGGUGCGACGCCGCGUGGGGGAAUGAAGGUCUUCGGAUUGUAAACCCCUGUAAUGUGGGAGCAAAUUAAAAAGAUAGUACCACAAGAGGCAGAGGCGGUUAACUCUGGGCCAGCAGCCGCGGUAAUACAGAGGUCGCAAGCGUUGUUCGGAAUCACGGGGCGUAAAGGGUGCGUAGGCUGUUUCGUAAGGCGGGUGUGAAAGGCGCGGGCUCAACCCGCGGACGGCACAUGAUACUGCGAGACUAGAGUGCAGGAGGGGGAAGCGGAAUUCUCGGUGUAGCAGUGAAAUGCGUAGAUA